UGCUAUACAUGCAAGUCGAGCGCAGGAAGUUAUCUGAUCCUCUUUUAGAGGUGACGAUAAUGGAAUGAGCGGCGGACGGGUGAGUAACACGUAGGCAACCUGCCUGUAAGACUGGGAUAACUCGUGGAAACGCGAGCUAAUACCGGAUAACACUUUUCAUCUCCUGAUGAGAAGUUGAAAGGCGGCUUUUGCUGUCACUUACAGAUGGGCCUGCGGCGCAUUAGCUAGUUGGUAAGGUAAUGGCUUACCAAGGCGACGAUGCGUAGCCGACCUGAGAGGGUGAUCGGCCACACUGGGACUGAGACACGGCCCAGACUCCUACGGGAGGCAGCAGUAGGGAAUCUUCCGCAAUGGACGAAAGUCUGACGGAGCAACGCCGCGUGAGUGAUGAAGGUUUUCGGAUC
rnacentral:rRNA from 1 species